UACGUAGGGGGCUAGCGUUGUCCGGAAUCAUUGGGCGUAAAGAGCGCGUAGGCGGCCAGAUAAGUCCGGUGUAAAAGUCACAGGCUCAACCUGUGAAUGCCGCUGGAAACUGUCUGGCUUGAGUCCGGGAGGGGCGAGUGGAAUUCCGGGUGUAGCGGUGAAAUGCGUAGAUAUCUGCAGGAACACCCGUGGCGAAAGCGGCGCGCUGGACCACAACUGACGCUGAGGAACGAAAGCUAGGGGAGCAAACAGG
rnacentral:rRNA from 1 species